UACGACUACAUAUCAGGCAUAUCAAUAAGCGGAGGAAAAGAAACUAACAAGGAUUCCCUUAGUAACGGCGAGUGAAGCGGGAAGAGCUCAAAUUUGAAAUCUUCAAGGUUCUACCUUGACGAAUUGUAGUUUAAAGAAGUGUUUUCUGUUAGAUGAGUAGCAAAAGUUCCUUGGAAUGGGACAUCAUAGAGGGUGAGAAUCCCGUAUUUGGUUAUUCAUUCUAGCUUUGUGAUACACUUUCAAAGAGUCGGAUUGUAUGGGAAUGCAGUCCAAAAUGGGUGGUAAAUUUCAUCUAAAGCUAAAUAUUGGCGAGAGACCGAUAGCGAACAAGUACCGUGAGGGAAAGAUGAAAAGAACUUUGAAAAGAGAGUUAAACAGUACGUGAAAUUGUCAAAAGGGAAGCGUUUGACACCAGUGUUGUUUUUCCGAAAAUCAAUUACGAAUGGCUUGAUUUUGUGUUGUAUUGACCUUAUCAGCUUUCUUCACUUUUUUCGAGUCUUUCUUAAUGCACUUUUCGGUUAACAAGUCAACAUCAAUUUCUUUUGUUGUAAAAGAGUAUUCGGAAGGUGGCUUUCUUUUCGGAGAAAGUGUUUAUAGCCCUAUACUUCUACAAUCGGAGAGAUUGAGGUCUGCAGCGUAGAUCCUUCGGGGUUAGAUACAUUUGUGCUAAGUUGUAGCUUUUCAUAGACAACUUGUUGACUAUGUUUAGUCAUGCGGCUUACUCGCUUAGUGCUAUUUUACCUACGCUUAGGAUGUUGAGUAGCGACAUACGCA
rnacentral:rRNA from 1 species